rnacentral:rRNA from 1 species
CGGCGCACGGGUGAGUAACACGUGGAUAACGUGCCCCAAGGUGGGGGAUAACCAUUCGAAAGGAUGGCUAAUACCGCGAAAGCCAACUUGAACCUCGGUUCUGGUUGGACAAGGCUUCGGCCACCUUGGGAUCGGUCCGCGGCCCAUUAGCUAGUUGGUGAGGUAACGGCUCACCAAGGCGACGAUGGGUAGCUGGUCUGAGAGGACGAUCAGCCACACUGGCACUGAGACACGGGCCAG